CUCUGAGUUAUUCAAGGCCUGAGUACUACUCGUCAUUCUUGUGGUGGAUGACACAGGUUAUCAUCCUCGUCUGCACUCAUUCGAUGCUUUAUAAAGCGAUGAUGAAACCAGGAUCAGUUUUCUGCAAUUCAUCACUAACACACAUGGGCAGUGUUGGUAGAAGUCGAAUCUUGUUCCGUCAUGUACUGCGUUGCAUUGCAUUAAUUUCCAUUGCGUUGCAUUGCACAAAUUGUUAUCCAUUCAUUACAAUUCCCGAUUUCUCCUCACAGCAACCAGGGCGACCAGAAAGGACGGGUUGUGUUCAUAAAAUGUCAAAUUUAAAAACAAAUUUAGCGCCAAAAUACCCUAAAUACUUUAUGCACUUAUCUCUCUACUAAUUUAACACAGGGCGCUUUGGUGGGGUUAGCGCACUUGACUUUCACCUCUGAGCUCGCAGGUUCAAACCUCAGUGAGAACUUUCUCAAUGCGACUAGACCCAAGCCUCACGCAAAAGAUUAGUCAAAAGUCAACGCUCUGCCGAAAGUCGUGGACUUUCUCCCGGCAUUCCGGAUUGGGUGGGUUAGGCACAUAUAUAGGUCAGGGGGCAUUUACAACUGAAACAUGCAGCGCGCGCGGCCAACCCACUCACCAAUCUGAUCCUUUGUCGAACUAAUUCAACAAGACGUUGAGGCGAAUUCAAACCACGCGCGCACCCACAGGGGGUCCAACUAAGAGCUGUGUUAUGAAUAUGAAUAAAACAUUAAUUAAACGUAAUAUGAAUAAAAC